UACGUAGGGCGCAAGCGUUGUCCGGAAUUAUUGGGCGUAAAGAGCUCGUAGGCGGUUUGUCGCGUCUGUCGUGAAAGCCCACGGCUUAACCGUGGGUCUGCGGUGGAUACGGGCAGACUAGAGGCAGGUAGGGGAGAAUGGAAUUCCCGGUGUAGCGGUGAAAUGCGCAGAUAUCGGGAGGAACACCGGUGGCGAAGGCGGUUCUCUGGGCCUGUACUGACGCUGAGGAGCGAAAGCUAGGGGAGCAAACGGG
rnacentral:rRNA from 1 species